AGAGGUUUUCUUUGAGGAAAAUAUUAUUCCUUAAUUCCAUUAUCCUAAAUUUUAAUUUAAAGAUUGGAAUAGCGUAUCCAUAUGUAUUAAAUUCUAUAUAAAAAUCUCAUUUGAAAUCUAAAUAAAUUUGAACAGCUAGCUAGCUUAAUCUUCCUCCUAACUAGACUGAAUUUAUACGUAUACUACAUCAAUAAUGCUUAUGU
rnacentral:lncRNA from 1 species